GAAACUGAGGCUCAGAGAGGUUAAGCGGCUUGGCCAAGAACACGCAGCAGGGCAGUGGCAGAGCUAUUACUAGAACCCGUCUUGAUUCCUGGGGAAACUGCGGAAGCUCCUGAACCGAUUAAGACCGGAUUGGACAAAGAGUGAGAAAUUCUGCUGAAGCAUUCAGAGGUCUCUCAAGUCUAAGGGCUGUAUGAUCUAAUGAAGCCUUUUCUCCUGUGAUUUCUGGGAUGAGAUGACUAACUCGUUUUAACGAGGCUGGCUUAGAGGUUUA